rnacentral:sRNA from 1 species
UAUCUAUGCUUAUCAUACUAUGGUGUG